AUUGAACGCUGGCGGCAGGCUUAACACAUGCAAGUCGAGCGGGGAAGGUAGCUUGCUACCGGACCUAGCGGCGGACGGGUGAGUAAUGCUUAGGAAUCUGCCUAUUAGUGGGGGACAACAUCUCGAAAGGGAUGCUAAUACCGCAUACGUCCUACGGGAGAAAGCAGGGGAUCUUCGGACCUUGCGCUACUAGAUGAGCCUAAGUCGGAUUAGCUAGUUGGUGGGGUAAAGGCCUACCAAGGCGACGAUCUGUAGCGGGUCUGAGAGGAGGAUCCGCCACACUGGGACUGAGACACGGCCCAGACUCCUACGGGAGGCAGCAGUGGGGAAUAUUGGACAAUGGGGGGAACCCUGAUCCAGCCAUGCCGCGUGUGUGAAGAAGGCCUUAUGGUUGUAAAGCACUUUAAGCGAGGAGGAGGCUACUUUAGUUAAUACCUAGAGAUAGUGGACGUUACUCGCAGAAUAAGCACCGGCUAACUCUGUGCCAGCCGCCGCAGUAA
rnacentral:rRNA from 1 species